rnacentral:rRNA from 1 species
CGGGACGGGUGAGUAAUGUCUGGGAAACUGCUUGAUGGAGGGGGAUAACUACUGGAAACGGUAGCUAAUACCGCAUAACGUCGCAAGACCAAAGAGGGGGACCUUCGGGCCUCUUGCCAUCGGAUGUGCCCAGAUGGGAUUAGCUAGUAGGUGGGGUAACGGCUCACCUAGGCGACGAUCCCUAGCUGGUCUGAGAGGAUGACCAGCCACACUGGAACUGAGACACGGUCCAG